rnacentral:rRNA from 2 species
AAAUUGAAGAGUUUGAUCAUGGCUCAGAUUGAACGCUGGCGGCAGGCCUAACACAUGCAAGUCGAACGGUAGCACAGAGAGCUUGCUCUCGGGUGACGAGUGGCGGACGGGUGAGUAAUGUCUGGGAAACUGCCUGAUGGAGGGGGAUAACUACUGGAAACGGUGGCUAAUACCGCAUAACGUCGCAAGACCAAAGAGGGGGACCUUCGGGCCUCUUGCCAUCAGAUGUGCCCAGAUGGGAUUAGCUAGUUGGUGAGGUAACGGCUCACCAAGGCGACGAUCCCUAGCUGGUCUGAGAGGAUGACCAGCCACACUGGAACUGAGACACGGUCCAGACUCCUACGGGAGGCAGCAGUGGGGAAUAUUGCACAAUGGGCGCAAGCCUGAUGCAGCCAUGCCGCGUGUAUGAAGAAGGCCUUCGGGUUGUAAAGUACUUUCAGCGGGGAGGAAGGUGUUGUGGUUAAUAACCGCAGCAAUUGACGUUACCCGCAGAAGAAGCACCGGCUAACUCCGUGCCAGCAGCCGCGGUAAUACGGAGGGUGCAAGCGUUAAUCGGAAUUACUGGGCGUAAAGCGCACGCAGGCGGUCUGUCAAGUCGGAUGUGAAAUCCCCGGGCUCAACCUGGGAACUGCAUUCGAAACUGGCAGGCUUGAGUCUUGUAGAGGGGGGUAGAAUUCCAGGUGUAGCGGUGAAAUGCGUAGAGAUCUGGAGGAAUACCGGUGGCGAAGGCGGCCCCCUGGACAAAGACUGACGCUCAGGUGCGAAAGCGUGGGGAGCAAACAGGAUUAGAUACCCUGGUAGUCCACGCCGUAAACGAUGUCUACUUGGAGGUUGUGCCCUUGAGGCGUGGCUUCCGGAGCUAACGCGUUAAGUAGACCGCCUGGGGAGUACGGCCGCAAGGUUAAAACUCAAAUGAAUUGACGGGGGCCCGCACAAGCGGUGGAGCAUGUGGUUUAAUUCGAUGCAACGCGAAGAACCUUACCUGGUCUUGACAUCCACAGAACUUUCCAGAGAUGGAUUGGUGCCUUCGGGAACUGUGAGACAGGUGCUGCAUGGCUGUCGUCAGCUCGUGUUGUGAAAUGUUGGGUUAAGUCCCGCAACGAGCGCAACCCUUAUCCUUUGUUGCCAGCGAUUAGGUCGGGAACUCAAAGGAGACUGCCAGUGAUAAACUGGAGGAAGGUGGGGAUGACGUCAAGUCAUCAUGGCCCUUACGACCAGGGCUACACACGUGCUACAAUGGCGCAUACAAAGAGAAGCGACCUCGCGAGAGCAAGCGGACCUCAUAAAGUGCGUCGUAGUCCGGAUUGGAGUCUGCAACUCGACUCCAUGAAGUCGGAAUCGCUAGUAAUCGUGGAUCAGAAUGCCACGGUGAAUACGUUCCCGGGCCUUGUACACACCGCCCGUCACACCAUGGGAGUGGGUUGCAAAAGAAGUAGGUAGCUUAACCUUCGGGAGGGCGCUUACCACUUUGUGAUUCAUGACUGGGGUGAAGUCGUAACAAGGUAACCGUAGGGGAACCUGCGGUUGGAUCACCUCCUUACCUUAAAGAA